AGCCAGGACAAAGUCAAACACAGGCACCUCCCACCCCUGGGAACUUUGGCCCCAGCCCUGAGAUCAGCUCAGACAGAAGACAGUGAGGCACCGUGCACAGCCCGGCAGGAAAGCAGCUGGGUCCUGAGGCUGGUGCAGACAGAACAGCCCAGCCAUUUCCUGCCCUGUGAGCUGGGUGAGCAGACACCAGUCUUGAGAACCAACAUGAAUGGCAGCCGUCACCGGUCAGUAGGUACUGUCACGGAACCCUAACGAGGAUAAGCAGCCUGAGGUAAGAGCUAAAAGACCAAGAACUGGAAAGUCUGCGUGUCUCCAUCCCUUGGUGAUAAGGCAGAGAGUGCUUUGCUGUAAGUGUAGUGGCGGGCGCAUAUAGCAUGCAAAUGAAAAGGAAAAGGACCCUGGAAAAAGGCCUCUGAAAAGGGUGGCACGUAGGGAUGGAUGAAGGGGUCUCAAUCACCCCCCCCCCCCCCAGUUGGAAUAUAGUUUUUCCUUCCAAGGAGAAAAUGUCUGUGUAUUCUUUAUAACUUUUUAAGAGAUCCAACACAGGGGCGCCUGGGUGGCUCAGUGGGUUAGGCCGCUGCCUUCAGCUCAGGUCAUGAUCCCAGGGUCCUGGGAUCG